rnacentral:misc_RNA from 1 species
AACGCACCUUGCGCUCCUUGGUAUUCCGAGGAGCAUGCCUGUUUGAGUGUCAUGAAACCCUCAAACUCAAGUUUAGUUCUAACUGAACCGAACUUGAGUUUGGAUUUGGACGUUUGCCGGUGAUGAACCGACUCGUCUUAAAAGUAUUAGCUGGAUCUGUCUAUAUGACUGGUUUGACUUGGCAUAAUAAGUAUUUUGCUGAGGACAUCUUCGGAUGGCCAGGACCUAGACUAUUGUCUGCUAACUAAACCUUCACUUUGAGUGCAUCUUCUGGAUGUUACUCAUUGUGUUACUUUGACAUCUGGCCUCGAAUCAGGUAGGACUACCCGCUGAACUUAA